rnacentral:rRNA from 1 species
AGAAUCAACGCUGGCGGCGUGCCUAACACAUGCAAGUCGAACGAGAAAGUGGAGCAAUCCAUGAGUAAAGUGGCGCACGGGUGAGUAACACGUGACUAACCUACCUUUUAGUGGGGGAUAACCUAGGGAAACCUGGGCUAAUACCGCAUAAUACCUACGGGUCAAAGCAGCAAUGCGCUGAAAGAGGGGGUCGCGGUCGAUUAGUUAGUUGGCAGGGGUAAUGGCCUACCAAGACUGUGAUCGAUAUCCGGCCUGAGAGGGCGCACGGACACACUGGAACUGAAACACGGUCCAGACUCCUACGGGAGGCAGCAGUGGGAAUUUUGCGCAAUGGGGGAAACCCUGACGCAGCAACGCCGCGUGGAGGAUGAAGUCCCUUGGGACGUAAACUCCUUUCGAUCGGGACGAUAAUGACGGUACCGGAAGAAGAAGCCCCGGCUAACUUCGUGCCAGCAGCCGC